rnacentral:rRNA from 1 species
UACGGAGGGUGCAAGCGUUAAUCGGAAUUACUGGGCGUAAAGCGCACGCAGGCGGUCUGUUAAGUCAGAUGUGAAAUCCCCGGGCUUAACCUGGGAACUGCAUUUGAAACUGGCAGGCUUGAGUCUUGUAGAGGGGGGUAGAAUUCCAGGUGUAGCGGUGAAAUGCGUAGAGAUCUGGAGGAAUACCGGUGGCGAAGGCGGCCCCCCUGGACAAAGACUGACGCUCAGGUGCGAAAGCGUGGGGAGCAAACAGG